AGUGAUCAACCAUUCAUCAGUUGCGUAUAACACCCAGUGCUCAUCACGUCACGUGCCCUCCUUACACCCAUCACCGGUCACCCAUCCCCCCACCCCCCUCCCCUCUGUAAUCCUCAGUUGUCUCCUGCAGCAUGCAGGAAGGCCAUAAAGCCCCCAGGUUUGAGUUUAUGGUACUAAGAUCUUAAAGACUUGAGAUUCUGUUUGCAUCAGAAAGGAAAAGUUGAGUUCUGCUAGUUACUGUGCAAGAGGACAGCACACAUCUUUUCCCAUAAAAUGGGUUUAUUAAAUGAAAUGUGUAUACACUGGGUGAGGUGGGAUGGCCCGUCAAGCAAAUUAGAGAUAGCCUGUACUAUUAGACUCCAGAACCUUGCAUUAGGCCUAAAGAGGGUAUUAAAACCACAAAACUGCCCCUUGAUGAUUGUAAAAGCAAAUUCCUGUUGUCAUGAGUUAAAAACGAACAGACAAGCACCUGUCUGUAGAGGUCACUCCUCAUGUUUUCAACCACAGAUUUCCAUAAAAUGAAAACAUGAGAAUCAAAAUUUAAGGCAAUGUGUAGUCAGUGUGCUUUUUUUUUUUGGUCUUUUUGUCUGUUUGUCUUUUUGUUUAGUUUCAUGUUCUGAAAUGAGCCUGCCGGCCUCCCAGGCCUAUGGGUCUCAGAUUCUCUCCUCAGAAGCACAGGUGAAGGGCCUAGCUCCUGCCUCCUGCUGAGGCUUGUGGCUCCUCCUGGGCUGUCCGAGAAAUGCCCAGGAAUCAGUACCUGUGCGGCUCCACAGCGCCUGUGGGACCAACAUGCAAUUGCAUCAGUGAGUAAACUUCCUAUAGUGUAUAGAGAGUGUGCCUUCUUCCCUGCCCUCCUUCUUCUGUCUUGUUUUUUGUUUUUGUUUUUGUUUUUUUAAAGUAGGCUCCGCACCCAGUGUGGGGCUUGAACUCACGACCCUGCAAUCAGGAAUCUCACGCUCCACCGACUAAGCCAGCCCUGCGCUCCAUCUCAUGCUCCGGCUUCGAUUCAUAAAGACAAGAGUGUAGUGGCUGAAUCUUCGGAAUCUUUUUAUCACAAAAAUGGCUUCUAGCCAGCCAGCGGCUCAGGGAGCCCACGGCAGGGGAUGUGACCGCACGAGUGCGUUCCACGGCUGAGGGAAGUGUGUGGGGCCUGCAGGCCGUGGGAGGUCAUGCUAUUCCAGGUUGUUUCUUUAUAUCUUUAUAUCAGGAAGAAGAUCUUCAAGUAAGAUGGAAAUCAAAACAUUCGUAUGUUCCAGAUUUAGAGCUCUUUGUCUUUGGAAUGUUUUUCUUUCCUUCCGGGUACAUAGUUUCAUUUAGCUUAGGGGAGGAAGACAUUUAAAAAAAAGUUCCUAUCAGGCUCUGAAUAUCAGCAUUCAAUUUGGCUAAUUUCUGGCCACAGAGCUGCUUAAAAAAUCCCUUCAAAUAUCUUGUCAGGUUUCACCCAAGACAGUCAAUUUUCCCGGCAGUAUUGAGCCCCCGGAUACAAGAGGCAUCCCCAUGGAGGGUGUGAAAGAUAUUACCCUCUCAAGAUCCAGAGCCCCUGCAAAGAUCACCUGAAGGAGGAAAGAGUUGGACAGUUUCCCUGAGAACUGGCAAAAGUUGAAAGGACCCCAGCCACAAUGGAGUGCGACCCACAUUUCUGCGUGGCCGUAUCUAGCUGCACAUGGGCUGUGAUCCACAUUUCUGUCUGGCCGUAUUUGGAAAGGAAGGGAUGUGAAAUUUUACCUUCCUCUCGAUUGGGCACAGCAGACGUUUGGGAGAGCUGAGCCUGAAACACAGCUCAGGAACCUCUGCGAUUUCCAAAUCAAUGAGCAGGAACACCUGUGAAUCGCUAAUGGCUUGAAGCUUGGCGGAAACAAAGCUCAAAACCUGACAGUGGCCUUCUGAUUAACUGAGGGAGAGGCAAUGUGCAACCUUGGAUCCAGGGUGAGCUGCAUUUCCCCAGCAUCUUGUACCUUGUUUGGUUAUGAACACGUCCAACCUCCUAUGAGGUGCACAGAUUCUGAAAUGGAAUCCAGUUAACCUUUUGCAGAGUUUCAGCUGGGAGGCCGUACAGCACAUUUGUUUCCCCUAAUUCUGGCGUUGUCGUGAUGCUAAUCGAUGAUAGUGCAUUGAGGGACCUAAUGGUCAUUGCACUUUUAUAGCCUGGCAAUUAACUUCUCCAUUUUACUGCAUCCUGGAAGGCUG